AUGGGUCCUGAUAAAAAUCCUUUUGGAAAAUUCAUGGUUGCUGUUUAUGAAGUUGUUUUUAAUAAAAAUAAACGUGAAAAGGAAAAGAAGAAGAUGAAAAUACAGAACAGGAGACAAACCCAACCAUGCAAUUUUCAUUUUAACUCUCUGGGCAGUACAGUAAAAGGGCUAGCAUACACUCCCAUCAAAAGCAAUGGGAAUAACCAUAAGAGCCAUCUUUCUCAAAUCACAGAUGAAUUCAAAUGGGAAGAGGCACGCAACAACAAAAAAAAUAGUUGUUAAUGCAUAAAACUACUGUAUGUCUUCCAAUAGCUGGACUCAAGAACCCUGGUUAAAUACUGACUUUCUUUCAGAGUCAAUCAGAUAAUAAGACCCCUUUAGAAGCACAGAAUAGUUAAAUUCAUCACCAUAAUUUAAUUGUAGAAGGUUAUUAAAGAGCACUUCGACUCCCCUCCUGCUUCGGCGCUGCUUUUGUGUAUUAAACUCAGACUAAUCAAAUUGCAGAUUCCAAGAGUACUGUAUUAGUCAUCCCCAUCCCUUUUAAUUUGUUUAAUGGCCUCCUUUUUUCUCCCCCCUCUUGUGUAUGUGUUCUGACUGGCUGUGCAGCGCUUAGGCUCACGACAUGUAAAUAAAGAAUGGAUAGGGGAACA
rnacentral:lncRNA from 1 species